UGUAUCUAUGAUGACCAUUUGGCUCCCUCAACUGAAUCAAAUGAAGAAAAUUGCCUGAAUUGUUACCUGGUGUCUGAGAUACA